GAAGCAAAUUUACAUGGCGUGUGUAGGCAGUGGCGGGACUGAAGUGGACGUGAUGGGAUGAGAUAACCUCGACUUUAUUCACUAAGAUCCCUUUUUUGCAUCUUAUUGCAUGGAUGUGCAAGGUUGAAAAUUUCGUAGUCCAUCUUAAACGUCUAAAGGCAGUCUUAAGAUGUACAUUAAACAGGUAACGAUACAAGGGUUUCGAUCCUACAGGGAUCAGACUAUUGUGGAUCCCUUCAGUCCCAAGCAUAAUGUUGUUGUUGGUAGAAAUGGAUCUGGAAAAAGCAACUUUUUCUAUGGUA